UACGUAGGGUGCAAGCGUUGUCCGGAAUUAUUGGGCGUAAAGAGCUCGUAGGCGGUUUGUCGCGUCUGCUGUGAAAUCCGGAGGCUCAACCUCCGGCCUGCAGUGGGUACGGGCAGACUAGAGUGCGGUAGGGGAGAUUGGAAUUCCUGGUGUAGCGGUGGAAUGCGCAGAUAUCAGGAGGAACAUCCGUGGCGAAGGCGGCUCUCUGGGACGGUACUGACGCUGAGACGCGAAAGCGUGGGGAGCGAACAGG
rnacentral:rRNA from 1 species